rnacentral:lncRNA from 1 species
GGAAGAUUUGGAGGAUCAUCUAAAUACCCAUCCAACAGAGAAAUACAUGAUUCAUGUAUUUCUCAAGACAGCCAUACACUAAAAUUAUAAGAUCAUAAGAAUAUUAAUUAUAUUCUACCAAUGCAAUACAAGCAUUGAAAUGGAUGGCAUCUGAUCCUGCUUCAUGUGAUUCCUCAUUUAGCUCUGGACUCUUUACGUCAUUAAGUUGUAAUGGUUUCCAGGUUAUGGCACUGGUAGAGGAUCGUGACUGCAAGUUGUCCAGGUUCUUGGUGUUUUGAACAAAGAAUUCGACAAAUCUCACAGCAAAGCAAAGAAAGAAUAAAGCAACAGAAGAACGAAAGCAGGAAUUUAUUGAAAACGAAAGCACACUGCACACAGUGUGGGAGUGGACCUCAGCAGUGGUUC